rnacentral:misc_RNA from 1 species
CCACAGUGGGGAGACCCUGAGA